UACCAGCUCUCCGAGUAGUGUGGAUGUUUAUUGGGCCUAAAGCAUCCGUAGCUUGCUAAGCAAGUCCCCUGUUAAAUCCACCGAUUUAAUCGUUGGAUUGCGGGGGAUACUGUUUGGCUAGGGGACGGGAGAGGCCGACGGUAUUUCCGGGGUAGGGGUGAAAUCCUAUAAUCCCGGGAAGACCACCAGUGGCGAAGGCUGUCGGCUAGAACGCGCCCGACGGUGAGGGAUGAAAGCUGGGGGAGCGAACCGGAUUAGAUACCCGGGUAGUCCCAGCUGUAAACGAUGCAGGCUAGGUGUUUGGGCGGCCACGAGCCGCCCUAGUGCCGCAGGGAAGCUGUUAAGCCUGCCGCCUGGGGAGUACGGCCGCAAGGCUGAAACUUAAAGGAAUUGGCGGGGGAGCACCACAAGGGGUGAAGCUUGCGGUUU
rnacentral:rRNA from 1 species